rnacentral:misc_RNA from 1 species
GCCAAACAGUUUCAGCUCCACCAAAACUGGGAGUGGAGCUGGGUGGAGCUCUCUCACAAAAUGAACUAGAGUUAUGGAGCUGGGUUUAGGCAGCUCCACAACUCCACUCCAGGAGUUGUGAGAGAGCUCCACCCAGCUCCACUCCCAUUUUAGGUGGAACUGAAACUGUUUGGCUGAACUCCACCUCUAGAGGUGGAGUUGGAGCUGGAGUUGUGCCAAACAGGCCAGGCUCCCAUUUGGUAGAGAUUCAACUUCUAAUUUUAACUCCAAGAGUUGAGUAUGGAGUGGAGUUGUGGAGCUGCUUGAAUCCAGCUCCACUUCUCUAGUUCAUUUUGUGAGAGAGCUCCACCCAGCUCCACUCCCACUUUAGGUGGAGCUGAAAGCUUGAA